rnacentral:rRNA from 1 species
GACGAACGCUGGCGGCGUGCUUAACACAUGCAAGUCGAGCGGUAAGGCCCUUCGGGGUACGACGAGCGGCGAACGGGUGAGUAACACGUGGGUGACCUGCCCUCCACUUCGGGAUAAGCCUGGGAAACCGGGUCUAAUACCGGAUAGGACCUCUGGAUGCAUGUCUGGUGGUGGAUAGUCUGUGUCUUGACUGGUGCUGGCGGUGGGGGAUGGGCCCGCGGUCUAUCAGCUUGNGGUGGGGUGAUGGCCUACCAAGGCGACGACGGAUAGCCGGCCUGAGAGGGUGUCCGGCCACACUGGGACUGAGACACGGCCCAGACUCCUACGGGAGGCAGCAGUGGGGAAUCUUGCGCAAUGGGCGGAAGCCUGACGCAGCAACGCCGCGUGGGGGAUGACGGCCU